rnacentral:rRNA from 1 species
GACGAACGCUGGCGGCGUGCUUAACACAUGCAAGUCGAACGGAAAGGCCCUGCUUGCAGGGUGCUCGAGUGGCGAACGGGUGAGUAACACGUGGGUGAUCUGCCCCUUACUUUGGGAUAAGCCUGGGAAACUGGGUCUAAUACUGGAUAGGACCAUGCUGUAGGUGGUGUGGUGGAAAGAUUAGUUUCGGUAAGGGAUGAGCUCGCGGCCUAUCAGCUUGUUGGUGGGGUAAUGGCCUACCAAGGCGUCGACGGGUAGCCGGCCUGAGAGGGUGGACGGCCACAUUGGGACUGAGAUACGGCCCAGACUCCUACGGGGGGCAGCAGUGGGGAAUAUUGCACAAUGGGCGCAAGCCUGAUGCAGCGACGCCGCGUGGGGGAUGACGGCCUUCGGGUUGUAAACUCCUUGCAGCCAUGACGAAGCCCUUGUGGUGACGGUAGUGGUAGAAGAAGCACCGGCUAACUACGUG